rnacentral:lncRNA from 1 species
GGAAUCCCUCGCCCCCCUUCCCUCUGGUUAAGCCAACCCGGAAGCGGAAGUUCCCCCCGCAGGGGUUUCUGGGACGCCGGGGAGCAGGGCGGCUGUUCUGUUUUCUUUUGGGUCAGACGUAGCCGCCAGCGGCGGUAGCGGCUGCGGUUUGGAGGCCAGAGACCGACGUGGCGGGUGAGUCAGUCCCGGGGGCGGGGGCCGCAGCUCGUGACCCUCCCGCUCGUAUGGGGGCGGGGAACGCAGGGGAUAAAUGUGACCUUUGACCCCGUAAAUAUUCGCAACCCUUCUCUCCCCUCCCCUCCCCAGCUCCUUCUGUGGAUCCCGCCGCCCGCUUGGUCGGGGCUCGGGGGGGCAGAGUCAGGCGAGAGCCCCCUGCUCGGUGCCCGGCGCUGCGCGGGCGGGGGCUCCCCAGGGGCUGGCAAGGGAGUAGCAGUUGCUGGCCGAGGCUGCGCCCGUCGCCGGCCUGCGUAGCCGUAGGGGCGGGGGAUGGGGGGGGGCGAGGUGUUUUGUUUUUUGCUCCGCCGGCGGACACCCCCGUGUCCCGAUAUUUUCUUCCUCUCAUCUGGUCACCCUAGUGUCGCAUCACGCGGCUGUUGCGUGUCCUGUGGAAGGAAACACUUUGGGGCUAUUUCACCUUUGUGCAGAAUUCAGGGGUGGGGAGGAAGAGAAUCACACAAUAAUUAUCUACUGACCAUAGUAGCUGUUGAUUCAAAAAGUUAAAGCUUCUAUCAUGGUUAAAAGACAUUUUCAAUAUCAUAUGUCAAAAUAUACAAAGUAAUUAGUUGUGAAACAAACUCUAAUAAGGAGCCUGCCUUAGCCCCACUGCGCCGCCGACCGGACUUUUAACGGCUCAGUCAGUGAUGCCAGCUGUAAGGGGCCCCGAUGUAAUAUUACUGCUCCAAAUCCCCUUCAUUUUAUUUAGCCUGGCCUGUGUCACAUGUGUGCUAGUCCCACUGGGGACCCAACACCUAAUAGGUUUUCAGUUAGCAUUUUUCUUCUUUUUCCUGUCUGAAAAUUUGUUUUAUCAUCGAUGGAAAUAUUUUUUUUCAUAAGUAUGUGUGUGCAAGGUGAAAUAGGUGUUUGACAUUUACUGACAAAAAGCAACUUUUUCCAAGUCUGUUUAUAUGUUAUGAAUUAUAAUGGUUGUGUUUGUAAAUCAAUGGCAGAUCUGUGGAUGGUUAUAUGUAUGAGCUCUAGCUUUAAAAUUAUCUUAUGUUGUGGCUAAAACUCACAAAUGUGAUUUUAGGAAGUAUGUUCUGUUGCCUAUUAAUUCUACCAGCCCUUUCACCUCCCCCAUUUACGGCCCUAGUAAUCAAAUGGGGAUUUGCAGUUGAUGUUUACCAUCAUGUAGAGGGGAUCUCACUAUAUUGAUGAUACACCUUGUGUAGUUUGUUCAGGUCUGAGCAAGAGUUAUAAGACUAAUUCUUUCCUCUAAAUUGACAUCUGUUUUAUUUCCCUUCCAGAAUAAAGUCGUCCAGUUGAAGCUGCUGCA